GAAACUAAGCGAGCUACUCCAAAGCAGCUUCACAGAGCCAACCCGUCCCUGUAGCAAAAGGGUGGAAAGACUUUGGAGUAGAGGCGACACACCUACCGAGCUUAGAGAUAGCUGGUUAUUCAGAAAAAGGAUUUUAGUCCUCCUUUAAGUUUUCUCAGUUCUGUAAAACACUUAACAAACUUAAAAGUUAUUCAAAUAAGGGACAGCCUAUUUGAAAAAGGGCACAGCCUACAACUCAGGGUAAUGGACCCCCCCC
rnacentral:rRNA from 1 species